rnacentral:rRNA from 1 species
AACGAACGCUGGCGGCAGGCCUAACACAUGCAAGUCGAACGCCCGUAGCAAUACGGGAGUGGCAGACGGGUGAGUAACGCGUGGGAACGUGCCCUUCGGUUCGGAAUAACUCAGGGAAACUUGAGCUAAUACCGGAUACGUCCGUAAGGAGAAAGAUUUAUCGCCGAAGGAUCGGCCCGCGUCGGAUUAGCUAGUUGGUGAGGUAAUGGCUCACCAAGGCGACGAUCCGUAGCUGGCUGAGAGGAUGAUCAGCCACACUGGGACUGAGACACGGCCCAGACUCCUACGGGAGGCAGCAGUGGGGAAUAUUGGACAAUGGGCGAAAGCCUGAUCCAGCCAUGCCGCGUGAGUGAAGAAGGCCUUAGGGUUGUAAAGCUCUUUCAGCGGGGAAGAUAAUGACGGUACCCGCAGAAGAAGCCCCGGCUAACUUCGUGCCAGCCGCCGCCGUAAC